ensembl:snRNA U5 U5 spliceosomal RNA
GUACUCUGAUUUUUCUUCAGAUCAUAUAAAUCUUUUGCCUUUUACUAAAGAUUUCCAUGGAUAGAAUAAGGAGGUGCAGCCUGCCCCAUACCAAGGCCACUCAUGGGGUCU